rfam:Ciona savignyi cont_3028, whole genome shotgun sequence.
GGGGAUGUAGCUCAGUGGUAGAGCGCACGCUUUGCAUGUGUGAGGCCCCGGGUUCGAUCCCCGGCAUCUCCA